rnacentral:rRNA from 1 species
ACUCUAAGCGGUGGAUCACUCGGCUCAUGGGUCGAUGAAGAACGCAGCAAACUGUGCGUCAUCGUGUGAACUGCAGGACACAUGAACAUCGACAUUUUGAACGCAUAUCGCAGUCCAUGCUGUUUGGUACUUUAAUUAAUUUUAUAGUGCUGCUUGGACUACAUAUGGUUGAGGGUUGUAAGACUAUGCUAAAUAAGUUGUUUAAAAAUUUUACGAAAUUUUUAAGCAUAUUGUAUAUUAUUGGAUAUGUAUAUAUAUAUAUAUUCAUAAUAUUGAUAUUAAAUGGAAACGCAUUAUCUCUCAUUGUUGUAUAUAUUUGUGUGAGAAGAACGAAGAAAAAUAUAUAUUUUUUGUCCUUUUUGAAUCAAAUAAUACUGAGGAAUGUCUAGCAUAAAAAAAUAAUUAAAGUUUUUCAUCUAGAAUUGCCUCUUAUUAAUGUUUCGAAAGGAAAUUUUGUUGUAAAUAUAAAUAUUUAAUAUUCUUCGUGAUAUUCGUUAUAAAAUACGAAUAUUAUAAUGAUUUCAUUAUGAGAACGCUCUAUAUAUAUAAUAAUAUAGUGUAAUUAUCAUUAUAAAUUUUAAUAUACGUAUAUACAACCUCAACUCAUAUGGGACUACCCCCUGAAUUUAAGCAUUUAAUUAGGGAGGAAAAGAAACUAACCAGGAUUUUCUUAGUAGCGGCGAGCGAAAAGAAAUCAGUUCAGCACUAAGUCACUUUGUCUAUAUGGCAAACGUGAGAUGCAGUGUAUGGAGCGUCAAUAUUCUAGUAUGAGAAAUUAACGAUUUAAGUCCUUCUUAAAUGAGGCCAUUUACCCAUAGAGGGUGCCAGGCCGUAUAACGUUAAUGAUUACUAGAUGAUGUUUCCAAAGAGUCGUGUUGCUUGAUAGUGCAGCACUAAGUGGGUGGUAAACUCCAUCUAAAACUAAAUAUAACCAUGAGACCGAUAGUAAACAAGUACCGUGAGGGAAAGUUGAAAAGAACUCUGAAUAGAGAGUUAAACAGUACGUGAAACUGCUUAGAGGUUAAGCCCGAUGAACCUGAAUAUCCGUUAUGGAAAAUUCAUCAUUAAAGUUGUAAUAUUUUAACAAUAUUAUAAUAAUAGUGUGCAUUUUUUCCAUAUAAGGACAUUGUAAUCUAUUAGCAUAUAACAAAUUUAUCAUAAAAUAUGACUUAUAGUUUAUUCAAAUUAUUAUGCUUGCAUUUUAACAUAGAAUAAAUGUCAUUAAUUUGAUAAAGUGUUGAUAAAUUAAAAUUAAUACAGUGCGUUAAUUUUUCGAAAUUAUAUAAUGGCAUAAUUAUCAUUGAUUUUUGUGUUUAUUAUAUGCAUUUGUAUGAUUAACAAUGCGAAAGAUUCAGGAUACCUUCGGGACCCGUCUUGAAACACGGACCAAGGAGUCUAACAUAUGUGCAAGUUAUUGGAGAUAAACCUAAUAGCGUAAUUAACUUGACUAAUAAUGGGAUUAGUUUUUUAACUAUUUAUAGAUAAUUAACACAAUCCGGGGCGUUCUAUAUAGUUAUGUAUGAUAAUAUUUAUAUUAUUAUGCCUCUAACUGGAACGUACCUUGAGCAUAUAUGCUGUGACCCGAAAGAUGGUGAACUAUACUUGAUCAGGUUGAAGUCAGGGGAAACCCUGAUGGAAGACCGAAACAGUUCUGACGUGCAAAUCGAUUGUCAGAAUUGAGUAUAGGGGCGAAAGACCAAUCGAACCAUCUAGUAGCUGGUUCCUUCCGAAGUUUCCCUCAGGAUAGCUGGUGCAUUUUAAUGUUAUAUAAAAUAAUCUUAUCUGGUAAAGCGAAUGAUUAGAGGCCUUAGGGUCGAAACGAUCUUAACCUAUUCUCAAACUUUAAAUGGGUAAGAACCUUAACUUUCUUGAUAUGAAGUUUAAGGUUAUGAUAUAAUGUGCCCAGUGGGCCACUUUUGGUAAGCAGAACUGGCGCUGUGGGAUGAACCAAACGUAAUGUUACGGUGCCCAAAUUAACAACUCAUGCAGAAACCAUGAAAGGCGUUGGUUGCUUAAAACAGCAGGACGGUGAUCAUGGAAGUCGAAAUCCGCUAAGGAGUGUGUAACAACUCACCUGCCGAAGCAACUAGCCCUUAAAAUGGAUGGCGCUUAAGUUGUAUACCUAUACAUUACCGCUAAAGUAGAUGAUUUAUAUUACUUGUGAUAUAAAUUUUGAAAACUUUAGUGAGUAGGAAGGUACAAUGGUAUGCGUAGAAGUGUUUGGCGUAAGCCUUCAUGGAGCUGCCAUUGGCACAGAUCUUGGUGGUAGUAGCAAAUAAUCGAAUGAGACCUUGGAGGACUGAAGUGGAGAAGGGUUUCGUGUGAACAGUGGUUGAUCACGAGUUAGUCGGUCCUAAGUUCAAGGCGAAAGCCGAAAAUUUUCAAGUAAAAAAUCAGUGAGUAAUAUUGUCAAAUCUUUUAUGAUUUUUAAAUACUUGAAUAAUUUUUGAACGAAAGGGAAUACGGUUCCAAUUCCGUAACCUGUUGAGUAUCCGUUUGUUAUUAAAUAUGGGCCUCGUGCUCAUCCUGGCAACAGGA